AGGUUCACUAUAUCAGCAUUCAACUUUUUUAGCAGUUUUCUAGUUAAACUGAGCGAUACAAUGAUCCAAGACAAUUACAAAGGACCCAUGUUGAGGAAUGCUAUCCACCUCUAGAAAGGAAACUGAUCAACUCUGAGUGCAAAUUGAAGCAUAAUUUUUUUUCACUUUAUGUUUUUGUUUUUUAUUGUUUGUAUCAUGGUUAAUAAAGAAAAUACGUUUUACAUGA